AAGUGCUCUUCGGAGUGACUCGAGUGGCGAACGGGUGAGUAACACGUGGGUGAUCUGCCCUGCACUUUGGGAUAAGCCUGGGAAACUGGGUCUAAUACCGAAUAGGACCACGCGCUUCAUGGUGUGUGGUGGAAAGCUUUUGCGGUGUGGGAUGGGCCCGCGGCCUAUCAGCUUGUUGGUGGGGUAAUGGCCUACCAAGGCGACGACGGGUAGCCGGCCUGAGAGGGUGACCGGCCACACUGGGACUGAGAUACGGCCCAGACUCCUACGGGAGGCAGCAGUGGGGAAUAUUGCACAAUGGGCGCAAGCCUGAUGCAGCGACGCCGCGUGAGGGAUGACGGCCUUCGGGUUGUAAACCUCUUUCAACUAUGACGAAGCGCAAGUGACGGUAGUAGUAGAAGAAGGACCGGCCAACUACGUGCCAGCAGCCGCGGUAAUACGUAGGGUCCGAGCGUUGUCCGGAAUUACUGGGCGUAAAGAGCUCGUAGGUGGUUUGUCGCGUUGUUCGUGAAAACUCACAGCUUAACUGUGGGCGUGCGGGCGAUACGGGCAGACUGGAGUACUGCAGGGGAGACUGGAAUUCCUGGUGUAGCGGUGGAAUGCGCAGAUAUCAGGAGGAACACCGGUGGCGAAGGCGGGUCUCUGGGCAGUAACUGACGCUGAGGAGCGAAAGCGUGGGGAGCGAACAGGAUUAGAUACCCUGGUAGUCCACGCCGUAAACGGUGGGUACUAGGUGUGGGUUUCCUUCCUUGGGAUCCGUGCCGUAGCUAACGCAUUAAGUACCCCGCCUGGGGAGUACGGCCGCAAGGCUAAAACUCAAAGAAAUUGACGGGGGCCCGCACAAGCGGCGGAGCAUGUGGAUUAAUUCGAUGCG
rnacentral:rRNA from 1 species